CGUAUUAUUUUUGGGGGUACAGGUUCACAUAUGAGCAGCGCGGCGGCGCGAGGAAAAGGCGUAGCUUCGUAGAUAGCGCCCUAUUACAGAGACCAGAGAUACCGGUAUCUCGAGUCAGCCUAGCUAGGAGUGUAGAAAAGAUGAAAGAAAUAAAUUUGUAAUAAUCUUGAUUGUAUUUGGAAGAAAAGAAAACGAAAAUAUAAAUUGUAAAAAGCAUGUGAUGUGAAUGCUUGUAAUAGCUUAAUUGUUUUAUGUUUUUUAUACUUCCUUAUGCAAUCUCUACUUGAAAUCUGUUCCUAGUUGGAACCUCUUGUAUUAUAUUGAUUGUGACGCCUAGGACGUACAGGAAAAACUCUAUCCGUUCGGCGGUCUGUUAGCGGGCCCGAAUCUGACCAAAUAGGCGGGUCUCAGGGCGUG
rnacentral:lncRNA from 1 species